GGAAGGACCAGGGAGAAGGCCUGACCAGAGAUGGGCAUUGUGAGGACUUCUUGCUUUGGCUGGAGGAUCAAGGCAUCCAAAUCACUCUACCAGCCACCUCCAGGGUGACUGAACCAACCUUAGCUGCCACCAGGACUGCAGGAGAUGCUGGGACAACAGGAAACUAUAUAUGCUUUAGUGGCAUCAUCUUUAUAUGUUGCACUGAGCGGAGCUCAGCCAGAUCUGAAGAUUG